AUUUUAAUUGCAAAGGUCCACUAUAAAACCUCCCUUCUUGAUUGCCGUGGCAACUAAGCACAUGCUGGUUUGUUGCAUCCCAUUGAGAGAGAGAGAAUCAGUCAGCUUGAAGCUGUAAUGACUGUAAUGCCGCAGGAACACGCCAAUGCUUGCUUGCUUGGUCAUGGCUUGUUUUUUUUUGCCUUUGACCAGAUCGGAGCUCUUCCUCAUCGUCCUCCUUACAUGGGCUGCUGCUGCACCACAAAGCGUAGACUCCGACCUCAGCACCAUAAUAAGCAUCGCACUGCGCUGCCAUGUACUCACAGCAGGCCGCGAGCUGCGAGCCACACCCGUGGGAGAUCCACGUUGCGGCGGUUCCCUAUUGUGGUUCUCAUCCGCCUCCUAGUUGAGAAGCCUAAGUUUGCCAGAAUGCUAUCUAGCGUCACUUGCAGGCGGAGGCGACGCCUUGAAAGGCUCUGAUCGGGAUGGAGUGACAGGGAGGAUGCGGAUGCAGGAAGUUGGGGGGCUAUGUCCCGAUUCCGAUGCAUGAUUGUGGAAGAUCUCAGUUGUGUUUUUGGCUGAUUCCGUCCGGGGCAUGGGGAAAUUUUGGGGCUUCAGGGUGGGAGAAGUGGGCUCUCACUUGCAUGCGUCGGGAAUCGGAUCCCUUGUGCCCCGGCAACGGAACUCCCAAUCCCUCCUUUUCACCCUUCGAGCAACAUUGCAACACUGCGUGUUCCUCAUGUCCCCAUUCUCGAAUUGCUUACAAUUAUUUGAAUCAGCGGUACUGUUCACUUUGAACAGUACAUCGAUUGAUGGCCAAACUGGGACUUUACGUGUCGCUUGUUCAAUUUAACAACGUUAUGUACCAGCUUUGCAAGUAAUCGGUCGAAAAGCGGAGUGGACAGAAGAAGAGAAGCUGGACUCUAGUUUUUUUUAUCCUUUUAACUUGUGCAGGAAAACUCUAUUACCACCCUGCGGCGGCGUUUGAUUGAAGCAUAUAAUUAGAUUCAGGAGGACCCCACCAGUGGGUUGGAUUGCCAGGGGGUUGCGUUGAUUAGUAGGGAGACCAGACUACUAUUAUCCCAGAGACGCGGCAGCAGAGUUAUGAGCUUCCCCAACAUGAAACAUGGCUUUCCUUGGAAAAGGCGAAAUGCGAGGAGUAUGCCCCCCCACAAUUAGCCAGUCUACCCCCAUCCCUUCUCAUCGUGCGCCUCCGCCAUCAAGUGCUGGUCUAUAUGCAUCAAAUGCCGGUCUACAUACACCAAGACUAGCAAACAAUGCACCGACUUUGCGGCAAUUUUUACUUGUCCUAGUGUUAACAAGGGGGUCAUAUCUUGCGCGGGUCAUAUCUUGCGAAUGUUGAGGAGCGAUGGAGAACCUUAUUGAUUGCAGUGUGAAGAAAGUUGAGGACACAGAGGUGUUGUUCGAAGCACUGUGCAUACGAGAACACUGUGUCCACUGACUGGAGGGAACUGUAAAUUCGUUAAGUUCGUUGAUCGAAGAGGAAACAUAUAAACUAAGUACUGUGAUGGGAACUCUUGGGAUUAAUAGGCAACAAUGUCAUGUUGAAGAAGGGUGCUAAUCCUAAGGGUAAGAGUAGCUGCUAACAUCCCCUUCCGCUUGCAACCCUUCUUUUGCCUAGUGAUGAUAGAUUGAGCUAGUCAACUUUAGGAUUUAUCACCAGUGAGUUGUUGUUCUAGGCUAGUUACAUUGUUGGAUGUCCAAUCUAUUUUUCAUGAGCUAAUCAAGUGAUUGGAAUGAAGACAUGCACAAGUUAUAUGCACAAGUUAUUAUCUAAUUUUGGUCAA